rnacentral:rRNA from 1 species
GACGAACGCUGGCGGCGUGCUUAACACAUGCAAGUCGAACGGAAAGGCCCUGCUUGCCGGGUACUCGAGUGGCGAACGGGUGAGUAACACGUGGGUGAUCUGCCCUGCACUUCGGGAUAAGCCUGGGAAACUGGGUCUAAUACCGGAUAGGAGCCAUUUUUAGUGUGAUGGUUGGAAAGUUUUUUCGGUGUAGGAUGAGCUCGCGGCCUAUCAGCUUGUUGGUGGGGUAAUGGCCUACCAAGGCGGCGACGGGUAGCCGGCCUGAGAGGGUGGACGGCCACAUUGGGACUGAGAUACGGCCCAGACUCCUACGGGAGGCAUCAGUGGGGAAUAUUGCACAAUGGGCGCAAGCCUGAUGCAGCGACGCCGCGGGGGGGAUGACGGCCUUCGGGUUGUAAACUCCUUUCGCUAGGGACGAAGCUUUUUGUGACGGUACCUAGAUAAGAAGCACCGGCUAACUACGUG